rnacentral:lncRNA from 1 species
UUUUAAUGGAUGUGGGAGAGAAAGGUUUGGAACAGCUUUGGGGUGAUGGCAGAGGAAGCUCUCUGAAGUAAUCCGGGGGCAGUGCCAAGAGGCAUUCCAGUUCUCAGAAAAAUAACCAGUUACUGCUUAUGUGCUGGGAGCUGCAAGAGUGAUGAUUUCUGCUGCCAACAUUUACAGUCAGCCCUGACCAUGACAGUAGAUCAAAUACAUGUACUCGCCUGGACAGCUGACCUGGUUUGAACUCAGUGAGUGUUACUCUCAACGAUGACUGCAUUUUUGGAAUUAAUACUUUGCUGUAUUUUUUUAAAUCAACCAUAACCUCUCCCAGCAUUAACCAACCUCUCAGGACUGUUCCAAGCACCUGGUGCCCUGGGGGAGCUGUUUAGACCCCGCAGGUGUGACUGGCUGGUGAAAUGAGAUGACACAGCUGGACUGAGACAAGCCACAGAGAAGUGGCUGGCCUGCUCUGCAGUUGGACGUUGAUCUGACCAAGGGUAACUCCCAGCUGGUGCCAGUGGGAGAAACAGUUUGAUCCUUCCUCCGUGCUCGGCUCCUUCACUUUUGGCUUGCGUGCAGCAGGAAGGCAGUUAGAAAUAGCUGUUCUUACAUGCUUAGGCUGUUUGAUUUUGGAACUUGGCGCUGGUUUUACUGGAGAUAGAAGAGCACCCACAAGCAGAGAAUGAAACAUCCUAUCCCCAGUCAGAGCUGUAACAGAAGGAAGGAGUGAAAGGAAGCCUGACCUGCUGGAAAAGUGGGACAAGUCCUGCAGACAGCAAUCAACCUUCCAAACAAAGGCAUUAGAAGUCAUGCUAUGUCUUUUUAUGAAAGAAUCAUCAUAGCAGCACACAUUUUAAAAGAACAGCAAGCAGUGCAGGAGGGCUCGUUACUAGUCUGUAUGCAGUUUAUCCUGAAGGAGAGGAUCCAUUAAGGCUUGCAGGGAUCAGUACGAGUGCUUACAGCUGAAGCCCUCUCAACGAAUUCCGUUCACAUUGAUGCAGACUCUGAAAACUCCAGUCCAACACACGCCACAGUCACAAAGGCAGGUGCAGUCCUCUUCAAAACCUGGAAUGGGAUGGCUUCAGUUCUCAGAGAGAAGCAAAGUUCAUCAGAGCUACGGAAGCACGGGCAAGGGAAGCAGGUACAGACCAGCUGGGAGGUAAUCACAGCUGUAUGCAGACACCACGUGCUGAAUAACAAGCAUGUCUACCAGAACUCAGGAUUCAGCUGCAGGAUGCCUGCUGCAGUAACCGCUGUAUAAAGUUCCCACUACUUAAGGCAGAGAGGGAAUGAAACCCUGGGGCUAACGAAAAUUUUUUCUGCUACUACAUGAAGUGUGGAUCUCAGUGAUCUUGUUCACUUCCUUGGUUCAACAGGACAAAGAAAAGGCAUUGAUACUUGGCUGAUUGCACUAAAUAGAACAAUAAAUAUAAGGCCAAAUUAUAAACUUAUAUGGGGUGAAAGAAAUGGAAGAUUUUUCCCAUGUGCCCUCCCUCAUGCCUCAGGACAGCUCUCCUGGAUCAAAAGAUGCAAACUAUAUCAUCAAUCAAGGUAUGUCACUAAACGAGCAAGGAGGAAAGCACAGAAUUUAGGGAAGAACCUCAUUUUAGUGGGCAGUAAUCGAAGCUGUAAGUAGUGCAGAAAUGUUAUUCUUGUUCUUCAGUAAGUUAAGUACAACUAUAGGACAGGAAAUGUGGAGAACAGCAGAUGAGACUAAUAGUAGCAGAUACCACAGCACAAGCAUUCAGUUGAAUCUAAAAAGAGUUAUUUCCCUAAUGGAUAAAUAGUGC